rnacentral:lncRNA from 1 species
AGCAAUACAAUACGAGAGGAAGAUAAAACAAAUUUAACUAAAAUGAACCAUCAUAUUAGUACUACGAUUAGCAACUCAAUGAAAAAUAAUUAAAAUGGGAGCUAAGAUGAUUACAAUGAGCAAUCACCAUACCAAAGUAAGAUUGUUUAUUUGCAAUGUUCUGAAAACCACGGUCCACAUUAAUAGAGUCACCUUCAAAUUAUCACCUCAAAAAGUCCCAUAUCUAGAGCAAACUGAAUUGCUGAAUUGCUAGCCUUGCAACCAAAGCCUCACCGAUAUCAGAAUCUAGAAGGGAUUCAACACACCAAGUGUCCACUGCUGCAACAUAUCCAUCUGAAUCUCAAGUAACAACACCAAUACCCCAUAUAUUGGUAAUAGGGUCAGCAACAUCAACAUUGAAAUGAGGGUCAUCCUCUAGAGUCUAAUCCUUACAAACAAUAUCCUCCACAAGAAAUUGUUUUUCAUAAAAACAAGACUUGUUACGAGCAAGCCACAUACUAUAACAUAAAGAAAUAACAUAUAAGAUGACAUCUAAUGGUGAAUGACAAAUGACUUGUUCAAACCAAGGAUCAUAUUGAAUGGUGGCGGUCGACGAAUUCUAGAGUAAACGUAAAAUGGAGAAGGCUAUAACACACCAAUCAAUACUCUUGGAACAAUAUCAUAACCCUUAAUGCACACCGGUAAAUUAGUUUUACAUCAUACACAACUUUGUUUUCAACCAUUGGAUCAACAGGUCACAUUAUAUCACAUUUGAUUCAAUUGCAAGACUUAUCAAUCCAAUGGUGGAACACAAGUUUAUGCAUGAAGCAAAACUUGUCUCACUUAUGCACCAAAAACUUAAUCUAUACGAAAAUCUAUAUGAUUGUAUAAAACUUUUUUUUUAACCUUUUCGUUCCCCGGACAAAGAUGCUAUAAUAAUUGAGUUCAAUCAAAAGGUUAAAGAUUGGAAUAAUGAUGCUUAAAGGCUAAAGCCAAUUAAAUGUCCUAACUUGGUGAAUAACAAAUAUAAAAAACGUUAUUUUCUUAUUUUCUUUCACAUUAGUAGUUAUUCUAUAUUAAUAAACAUAGCGACUCAAAUCAACUAAAUGAUAUAAGAACAGCUAGAUUAAGACUGAGUUAAUGAAUCUAGCUCAUUCUCUUUCAGUUACUGCUUCAAACCAGAACUCAAAGAGGCAGGACAUGGAUAACAUCGUUUUCAAUUUAACAUCGUUUUCAAUUUCAAUUUUCAUAUAUCUUUUUGCUUUCUUCAAUUGAAAACAGCAAAUUGAUGAAAAACCAAAAGAGAGAGGAAAACCUUAUCGUUGACAAAUUGAUGAACUGUUAAGCUAAAACCAAGACAUGAACUGUUAACCUUGUCGUUUUCAAUUUACUGGAGCUGCUGCGGAUCGAACGCGACAGAGGGUUGAAAUGGGUACCGAGAAGGAGGUUGUUGGUUGGUGACUGGAGAUGGAUCGAUCAUGCGGCUCAGAUCGGCGACGGAGGAAUGCAUCUCAGUUUGUUUUGGACCAAGUUCGCAAGAGAGGUUGUGUGCCUUCUAGUUCCUUAAACGCAAGUUCAGUUCUGGUUUUGGUACAGAAGCAAAUGGUUCAAGUUCAGUUAUGGUUUUUUUAAACAGUUCGGUUCGGAACUCUCAUGCACCAGUUCGAUUUAAUAUUGGUUCAGUUCAUUUCAGCAAUUCGGUUUGGUUCAACAGUGUUUUUGCCCAUCCCUAAGCUUACAGAUUCGCACACAUAACUAGUUGUUUUUAGACACCUUUCAUUGUUUAACCAAAGAAGAGAGUCUCAUUUCUUUCUCUUCUCUUUCUCAUCCCAAAGAUACAGUCAACUUUGGGUAACCAUAAUUUGUUAUUUUUGUUAAAAUCAAAUUUGACUGGAUAAAAAAAAUGCGUGGAUGGCUCAAAUCCUCCCAAGCUCCCCGUGCAGUAAAUUUUAAAACAGACGACAUAG